rnacentral:rRNA from 1 species
UACAGAGGGGGCAAGCGUUAUUCGGAAUUAUUGGGCGUAAAGGGCGCGUAGGCGGCUUGGCAAGUGGAUGGUGAAAUCCCUCGGCUUAACCGAGGAACUGCCGUCCAAACUGCUUGGCUUGAGACCGGGAGAGGUGAGUGGAAUUCCCAGUGUAGCGGUGAAAUGCGUAGAUAUUGGGAGGAACACCAGUGGCGAAGGCGGCUCACUGGACCGGUACUGACGCUGAUGCGCGAAAGCGUGGGGAGCAAACGGGG